rnacentral:rRNA from 1 species
UUUUCCACUUGCUCCGACAGGUAUUGCCCUAGUAGCGGCGAGUGAAGCGGCAGCAGCUCAAAUUUGAAAUCUGGCUCCCCCCCGCGGGGUGCCCGAGUUGUAAUUUGCAGAGGAUGCCUCUGGCGCGGCGCCUUCCGAGUUCCCUGGAACGGGACGCCAUAGAGGGUGAGAGUCCCGUAUGUUCGCAGGCCAGGCCUUCUGUUGAGGCUCCUUUCGAACGAGUCGAGUAGUUUGGGAAAUGCUGCUCCAAAAUGGGAGGUUAUUUUCUUCUAAGGCUAAAUACCGUCCAGCAGACCGAUAGCGCACAAGUAGAGUGAUCGAAAGAUGAAAAGCACUUUGAAAAGAGGGUUUAAACAGUACGUGAAAUUGUUGAAAGGGAAGCGCUCGCGACCAGACUCGGGCCCGGCGGAUCAUCCGGCGUUCUUCGCCGGUGCACUCCGCCGGCGCCCGGGCCCAGCAUCGGCUCGGCCGCGGGGGAUAAAGGCGGCGGGAACGUGGCCCCUCCGGGGGUGUUAUAGCCCGCCGCGCAAUGCCCCGCGCCGGGCCGAGGACCGCGCCCCAGGGCAAGGAUGCUGGCGUAAUGGUCGCUAGCGACCCGUCUUGAAACACGGACCAAGGAGUCGUCUUCGUAUGCGAGUGUUCGGGUGUCAAACCCCUACGCGCAAUGAAAGUGAACGCGGGUGAGAGCCCUCGCGGGCGCAUCACCGACCGAUCCUGAUGUUCUCGGAUGGAUUUGAGUAAGAGCAUACGGGGCCGGACCCGAAAGAAGGUGAACUAUGCCUGUGUAGGGUGAAGCCAGAGGAAACUCUGGUGGAGGCUCGCAGCGGUUCUGACGUGCAAAUCGAUCGUCAAACAUGGGCAUGGGGGCGAAAGACUAAUCGAACCUUCUAGUAGCUGGUUCCCGCCGAAGUUUCCCUCAGGAUAGCAGUGCCGAUCUCAGUUUUAUGAGGUAAAGCGAAUGAUUAGGGACCCGGGGGCGCUCAUUAGCCUUCAUCCAUUCUCAAACUUUAAAUAUGUAAGAAGCCCUUGUUACUUGACUGAACGUGGGCAUUCGAAUGUAGCGGCACUAGUGGGCCAUUUUUGGUAAGCAGAACUGGCGAUGCGGGAUGAACCGAACGCGAGGUUAAGGUGCCGGAGUGGACGCUCAUCAGACACCACAAAAGGCGUUAGUACAUCUUGACAGCAGGACGGUGGCCAUGGAAGUCGGAAUCCGCUAAGGACUGUGUAACAACUCACCUGCCGAAUGUACUAGCCCUGAAAAUGGAUGGCGCUCUAGCGUCCCACCCAUACCUCGCCCCCGGCUACAAGCGAUGCCCCGGGGAGUAGGCGGGCGCGCGUGUCGUGACGAAGCCCAGGCGAGAGCCCGUCUGGUGGUGUUAAU